rnacentral:rRNA from 1 species
AGCGAACGCUGGCGGCAGGCCUAACACAUGCAAGUCGAACGAUCCUUCGGGGUAGUGGCGGACGGGUGAGUAACACGUGGGAACGUGCCCUUUGGUUCGGAACAACUCAGGGAAACUUGAGCUAAUACCGAAUGUGCCCUUCGGGGGAAAGAUUUAUCGACAUUGGAGGGGCCCGCGUCUGAUUAGCUAGUUGGUGAGGUAAUGGCUCACCAAGGGGACGAUCAGUAGCUGGUCUGAGAGGAUGAUCAGCACACUGGGACUGAGACACGGCCCAGACUCCUACGGGAGGCAGCAGUGGGGAAUCUUGCGCAAUGGGCGAAAGCUUGACGCAGCCAUGCCGCGUGAAUGAUGAAGGUCUUAGGAUUGUAAAAUUCUUUCACCGGGGACGAUAAUGACGGUACCCGGGGAAGAAGCUCCGGCUAACUUCGUGCCAGCCGCCGCGGUAAUAC